rnacentral:rRNA from 1 species
AGAGUUUGAUCCUGGCUCAGGACGAACGCUGGCGGCGUGCUUAACACAUGCAAGUCGAACGAAAAGAGGGAAAGAGCUUGCUCUUUCCGGAAUUGAGUGGCAAACGGGUGAGUAACACGUAAACAACCUGCCUUCAGGAUGGGGACAACAGACGGAAACGACUGCUAAUACCGAAUAAGUUCCAAGGGUCGCAUGAUCCAUGGAAGAAAAGGUGGCCUCUACCUGUAAGCUAUCGCCUGAAGAGGGGUUUGCGUCUGAUUAGCUGGUUGGAGGGGUAACGGCCCACCAAGGCGACGAUCAGUAGCCGGUCUGAGAGGAUGAACGGCCACACUGGAACUGAGACACGGUCCAGACUCCUACGGGAGGCAGCAGUGGGGAAUCUUCCGCAAUGGGCGAAAGCCUGACGGAGCAACGCCGCGUGAGUGAUGACGGCCUUCGGGUUGUAAAACUCUGUGAUCCGGGACGAAAAGGCAGAGUGCGAAGAACAAACUGCAUUGACGGUACCGGAAAAGCAAGCCACGGCUAACUACGUGCCAGCAGCCGCGGUAAUACGUAGGUGGCAAGCGUUGUCCGGAAUUAUUGGGCGUAAAGCGCGCGCAGGCGGCUUCCCAAGUCCCUCUUAAAAGUGCGGGGCUUAACCCCGUGAUGGGAAGGAAACUGGGAAGCUGGAGUAUCGGAGAGGAAAGUGGAAUUCCUAGUGUAGCGGUGAAAUGCGUAGAGAUUAGGAAGAACACCGGUGGCGAAGGCGACUUUCUGGACGAAAACUGACGCUGAGGCGCGAAAGCGUGGGGAGCAAACAGGAUUAGAUACCCUGGUAGUCCACGCCGUAAACGAUGGAUACUAGGUGUGGGGGGUCUGACCCCCUCCGUGCCGCAGUUAACACAAUAAGUAUCCCACCUGGGGAGUACGAUCGCAAGGUUGAAACUCAAAGGAAUUGACGGGGGCCCGCACAAGCGGUGGAGUAUGUGGUUUAAUUCGACGCAACGCGAAGAACCUUACCAGGUCUUGACAUCCAACGAAUCCUUAAGAGAUUAGGGAGUGCCUUUCGGGGAACGUUGAGACAGGUGGUGCAUGGUUGUCGUCAGCUCGUGUCGUGAGAUGUUGGGUUAAGU